AUGAGGGGCUUCCCGCUGGCCGUCCUACUGCUGGCGCUGCUGCUCGCCGCCGGGGAACUGCAUUGCGCAGCAACAGCACCAGCGCCACCAGCAAAGGCAUCCGCGCCACCGCCCACACCACCACAGCACGCACCACCAUCGCCUCCGCGGCGACACCGGCCAUCGCACGGACGAGCCCCACCGGUUCCCCGGAAGCAGGACCCUCCAUCAUCACCACCGCCACCACCGCCGAAGCAGGACCCUCCAUCUCAGUCGCCGCCGCAGCAGCAGCAGGACCCUCCGUCACCGCCGCCACAGCAGAUCAUGCCGCCAAUACAGCUCGUGCCACCAAUUCAGGACCCCGACGUGGGAGCACCCAUGCCACCCAGGGGCGGCAACCGCUCCGCGGUCUGCACCACGCUCCUCGUGUUCGGGGACUCAACGGUGGACCCUGGCAACAACAACCGCCUGCGCACCACGGCCAAGGCCAACUUCCCGCCCUACGGCGUCAACUUCUACGGCCGCAGGCCCACCGGCCGCUUCUCCAACGGCCGGCUGGCCACCGAUAUGCUGGCGGACAAGCUCGGUAUAAUGAGGACCAUCCCGGGCUUCCUUGACCCGACGCUCAAGCUGGGGCAGCUCCGGAAGGGGGUGAGCUUCGCGUCGGCGGGCUCUGGAUACGACGAUAGCACUGCCACCACAUUAAGCGCGUUGCCAUUCCGGAGACAAUUGUGGCACUUCUGGCGCUACAAGCUACUGAUCCGAGCACUGCUUGGAACAAGAAGAGCAGAACGGAUUGUCAACAGGGCUACCUUCAUCAUAAGCGCUGGCACAAAUGACAUGCUCCUAAACUACAUCGCGUCGAACCGAUCAGCUGGCCCUAUCGCCAUGCUGCGGUACGAGAACCACCUGAUAGCACGCCUUGGCAAUUAUACCCAGGUGAUGAGGAUGCUUGGAGCGAGAAGGUUCAUGUUCGUCGGGCUACCCCCGAUCGGCUGUCUGCCAAUCGCGAGAACAUUGCUUGGAAGGGAUCCAGAUGGAUGCGACAGCGAUCUAAACCAGUUGGCAGCCUCCUUCAACUCGAGGCUGAUUCAGCUGUCGAAUUUCGUCAACUACCAGCCCCGAAUGAGGAGCGCCUACAUAGACACCUACACAAUCAUACGGGCAGCAACAGACAACCCUCAGAACUACGGGCUGACGGAGGUGUCGAGAGGGUGCUGCGGAUCAGGGAUGAUCGAGGUCGGCCAGACAUGCAGAGGGCGAAGGACAUGCCCAGACCCGAGCAAGUACUUGUACUGGGAUGCUGUCCAUCCGACAGAGACAACGAACCAGCUUAUCACAAGCCUGAUGCUGGACUCCAUUGCCGGAAUCUACAGCUAG
rnacentral:rRNA from 1 species